rnacentral:rRNA from 1 species
UCCGAAGGGGGCUAGCGUUGUUCGGAAUCACUGGGCGUAAAGCGCACGCAGGCGGAUUGAUAAGUCGGGGGUGAAAGCCCGGGGCUCAACCUCGGAAUUGCCUUCGAUACUGUCGGUCUCGAGCCCGGGAGAGGUGAGUGGAAUUCCUAGUGGAGAGGUGAAAUUCGUAGAUAUUAGGAAGAACACCAGUGGCGAAGGCGGCUCACUGGCCCGGUACUGACGCUCAGGUGCGAAAGCGUGGGGAGCAAACAGG